rnacentral:miRNA from 1 species
CCACCAAGAAUUGUGCCAUAUCU